UGGUUCUCGCAUCGAUGAAGAACGCAGCGAAACGCGAUAGGUAAUGUGAAUUGCAGAAUUCCGUGAAUCAUCGAAUCUUUGAACGCACAUUGCGCUCCCUGGUAUUCCUAGGAGCAUGUCUGUCUGAGCGUCAGUACACACCCUCCGUCGACCCUUUCUGUCCAGAGAAGGGGGAGAUCGGGUAUUGAGUCUUGCAGUCGAUCGAAAGAUCACUCAUGCUCUAAAGUGGAAAGCUAGCGGCCCGCCUGCCCUUGAAAGACGUAGUAAUGCGAGUUAUCCGUCUACGAUAGGUCCUAGCGCGCCCGCCAAAACUGCAACAUCUGAAGGUUUGACCUCAGAUCAGACAAGAGUACCCGCUGA
rnacentral:misc_RNA from 1 species